rnacentral:rRNA from 1 species
AACGCUGGCGGCGCGCUUAACACAUGCAAGUCGAGCGAGAACCAUGGCUUCGGCCAUGGGGACAGCGGCGAACGGGUGAGUAACACGUGGGCAAUCAACCCUCGACACUGGGAUAGCCCGGGGAAACUCGGAUUAAUACCGGAUACCCCAUCUGGCCUUCGGGCCGGCUGGAAAAGGUAGCUUUGGCCUCCGGUCGAGGACGAGCCCGCGGCGGAUUAGCUUGUUGGCGGGGUAAAAGCCCACCAAGGCGACGAUCCGUAGCUGGUCUGAGAGGACGAUCAGCCACACUGGGACUGAGACAAGGCCCAGACUCCUACGGGAGGCAGCAGGGGGGAAUCUUGCGCAAUGGGCGAAAGCCUGACGCAGCGACGCCGCGUGAGGGAAGAAGGCCUUCGGGUUGUAAACCUCUUUCAGGAGGGACGAAGCCACUCGGGUUAAUAGCCCAGGGGGUGACGGUACCUCCAGAAGAAGCCCCGGCUAACUACGUGCCAGCCGCCGCCGUAACAC